AUGGUUUUGAUAGAGAAGGAAGCUAAGGGAUUUGUGUUUGCUGGACCCGUUGAGGAGGUGCCCGCUGCCAGGAGAUGGACUUUGAUCGGUAAAGCAUGUACGCCAAGGUCUAAGAAUUUCACUGCCCUAAAACGCACCCUGAUAAGGGCCUGGGGCCUGCACCGGGAAGCUCAAUUCCGGGACCUUGAAAACAAUCUCUCCUUGGUUCACUUUGGUGGAGAAGGAGACUGGAAACACGCAAGGAAUAAUGGACCGUGGCAAUUUGAUUUCAAUGGCUAUGAUGGCAAGACAAGGCCGUCGGAGAUGGUUUUUGGCUCGGUUGAGGCUUGGGUUAGAGUAGAAGACUUUCCACUGGAUAGAAGGACCAAGGAGUUUGGGGAAGCACUGGGUAACUGGUUGGGAGAAGUCAUAAAAGUAGAUGUGGAGAAAGAUGGAUAUGCGAAAGGGAAAUACCUUCGAGUUAGGGCUAAGUUAUCAGUUUAUGAACCAUUGGUGCGAUGCUUUAAUCUGAAGGAGUCAGAGGACGAUGAAAUUGGUACAUGGUUCAACUUCUAUUACGAGAAAAUUCCCCACUUUUGCUUUGAGUGUGGGAGGCCGGUGCAUGUUAAUGGCAGGUGUGAGCCGCCAAUUGACAAAUCCUCACAAUGGAGAGAAUGGUUGAGGGCUUCUCCGGGACGAAAUACAGCAGGCAUGGGGGGGUCUCUAGGUGGUGUGCAGCAAGCGCUAUCAACAGUGAUGAUAACUCUCGCACUGGCGGGGGCGAUCAAAGCCGCUACGGUCAUCCUAGGGUCCGGGACCUCCCUACAAAACACAAUCUCAACUCGGAGUUCUCUCAGACUGGCAACUCCCACACUGGUGAGGAUCCACAACGGGAGAGGAAUGAGGUUAAUAACCACUCUAAGGACAGCCAUAGAGAUGGUGGUGCUCGUGAGACUGGCCUACGUCAUGAGCUGGAAAAGAAAACAGAGAAGGAUCUACGCCAAGAAUUGGUAA
rnacentral:rRNA from 1 species